UUAAGAAUUAAUCUUUAGUUUAAGUGCGAUAAGGGUCGGUUUGUCAUUUUGUUUGCUGUGAGAAGCUGGAGUAAAAUCAAAUCCCACAAAUUUCUCUCUUUCCAUUGAAAUGGCGAUUCGAACGAGAAAAUAUUUGAGUAUUUUGCCUACACCAUUUUUCUUUUCAUUGUUAUCUAAUCUUCUGAAUUUGUUUAAGAAAGAAACGAUUGGAGGAGAUUGAAGAGGAAGCGGCUACGCUUCGUGAAAUGCAGGCCAAAGUUGAGAAGGGGAUGGAUCUGUUCAAGAAAAUAAAGAAUGAAUGGAAAGAACACAUGAUGUACCAGUGGGCGAGGUGUGUGUUUCGCUGUCAUAGUGCUCUUCUUGCCAACACAAGUCUGUGCAUAUCUUGAAAGAUAGGCUUUAUAGUAAAUAAAGGGUGAAAUAACAUAUCUUGCCAACGCAGAUCUGAAGGAUUUUCUCAUUAGUUAAUGGUAUUGUUCCUGCAUCUCUCUUCAAAUUUUCUCCUCCAAAAUGAACUUUCGGUUCCCCUGAAGAUGAUAUUCAGAGUUUUCUAUUGUCGCUACAAAUUAUUAGCUAGUAAAAGCCUUGAAAAUAAUUGGUUUUAGAGAUCUGAAAAUUGCUGUUCCAGUAGGAUGUUUAAAGAUUUUUGAGACGAUCUGUAGUUUCAAGCAGCAGCAGAAAAAUGGGUGAGACGAAGGAGAUCUUUAGUUUUAAUAAUUGUUUGUUAAGUAAUUGUUCUUAUGAACCUAAUGUUCAGUUAGUAAUUCAUGUAAGUUCAUUACAA